rnacentral:sRNA from 12 species
UAUCAGAAUUAUGUUUGCAAUAACCCCGAUGAAAACGGUUGUCAACCUUUCGGGACACGAUUAUAAUGAAUGUUUAUGGAAUGAUAGUUUUAUAAGCAAGUCAACUUUGCAUUAUGGAAGUAUGCAAGAUAAGAGAAAAAUUCUCAAAUUUAGUCGUGGUGCUAAGAGUUAUCGCUUCAAAAGGUACGGAACUUAUCGCUGUGGCAAUAGACGCUCCUGUGGAGAAUAAGCCUUAUACUAACGAGUGGAAUCGCAAAGUCCCUAAGGUAAUCCAAAUUAACACAGUCUGUUUUGAUGCUUGAGAAAUCAGGCUAUAAGGUAAGUCGCUGGUAAAAGUAGCCAUAUGACAGUAUUGAAAACAAAUCUUUUCUUUGUAAUGUAUUAAAAAAAUUUCAAAUGCUGAAUGACUGGUGAAAUUUGUGUAUAACCAAUUACACACAAGCUUUGAGAAUAAUCUACGGUAAGAAACUAUGGGGUCGCUACCUAUAGUUCAGCCUUAUCGUCUUGGUGGCUGAAAAUUGAAGAAGAUAAUGGAGGUAAGGCGAAGGUCUUAUUGUAAACAUAAUUGUGA